rnacentral:tRNA from 1 species
GCCAGGGUAGCUCAGUGGUAGAGCAGAGGACUCAUAAGCCUUUGGCCGGCGGUUCGAACCCGCCCUCUGGCACCA